UGGUGGUGUGAAUUGUCUGGUUGAUUCCGUUAACGAACGAGACCUUCGCCUACUAAAUAGCUACUGGAAGAUAUUGCAUCAAGGCCGAGGGGCCUACCUGCGGAAGGAUCCGUUCCCCGUGGGUGGUCGUUCUCUCGGUUGCUGUUCUUUCAGAAAAUGCUUCUUAGAGGGACUAUUUGUGACAAGCAAAUGGAAGUUGGAGGCAAAAACA
rnacentral:rRNA from 1 species